UUUGCAACCUGGCAGGAGAGAUACCAUGAUCAGGAAGGUGGUUUUCCUAGGGUGAGGCUCAUUCAUUGCACUCUGAGUGUGCUGACCCUUGAGAUUUCCCCAAAUGCGGGAAACCUGACUGUAUAACUUGUGGUACUGGGGGACUGAGUUGGCACUUUCCCCUU